AUUGAACGCUGGCGGCAUGCUUUACACAUGCAAGUCGAACGGUAACAGGCCUUCGGGUGCUGACGAGUGGCGAACGGGUGAGUAAUGCAUCGGAACGUACCCAGAGGUGGGGGAUAACGCAGCGAAAGCUGUGCUAAUACCGCAUGUGAUCUGAGGAUGAAAGCGGGGGACCGAGCAGCAAUGUUUGGCCUCGCGCCUUUGGAGCGGCCGAUGUCGGAUUAGCUAGUUGGUGGGGUAAAGGCCUACCAAGGCGACGAUCCGUAGCUGGUCUGAGAGGACGAACAGCCACACUGGGACUGAGACACGGCCCAGACUCCUACGGGAGGCAGCAGUGGGGAAUGUUGGACAAUGGGCGCAAGCCUGAUCCAGCAAUGCCGCGUGAGGGAAGAAGGCCUUCGGGUUGUAAACCGCUUUUGGCAGGAACGAAACGGUGUCCGCUAAUACCGGGCGCUAAUGACGGUACCUGCAGAAUAAGCACCGGCUAACUACGUG
rnacentral:rRNA from 1 species